rnacentral:lncRNA from 1 species
CCUCCAAGCGACCGGAGGAAAAUUGCGCCACGCGCCCGCACGCGCGUGGAGAAGGGUACCGCGCCACCCGCAAGCGCUCCCACGAGCGCCAGAUCUCCCUCACGCGCCGCCACGCGCAGCGAGUGGCGGCAACUCGCAGGAGCCACCCCACGCGCCCGCAGCGCCCUUCAAGCUGGGCGAGUGGCGCAACAAGCCCAGCGUGCCACGCGCGUCCCAGCGUCAAAGCCUCACGCGCCAGCCGGAGCCAUCCGAGCAGUACACCGCGCGCCGCGCGUGAGAAGCCUAGCCGGACGGAUAAGCCGAUCCGUGAAGGCCGCGACCGAUUUGGAGCCGUUGACUGUCAAGCUGUAGCCGUUGACCAGUUCAACUGAAGCGUUGACUUUCAGCCCGUUGACGGAGCCGUUGACCGCGUGACCAGCCGCGAGCAGCGUGACUGUUGGGACAGCCGCGAGCCGCGUUUUGACCAAGCCAGUCGUUGACCGAAACAGCCGUUGACCGUUUGCCGCGUUCAAACGUUGACCAUUGACCAGCGUUGACCAAAAAAAUGGAAAAUUACACUUUUGGUUCCCUGAACUUUCUGAUAUUUUCAUUUGGUCCCUGAAGUUGGAAAUGGCCAGUUGUCCCUGGAUUUGGGGAAAUUGCAUUUAGGUCGGAAAAAUCUGAAAAAUUUCAAUGUAGUCCUGAAGUUCUGAUUUGACAAUUUGGGUCCCAGAAGUGUCUGAUUUUUGCAGGAAAGCCCUGUCUGAGUUUUCUUCGGCAUUCCGGAUCAUCGCGAGGUCGUUUCAGAGAUUUUUGCUUCAAUGUGGAGAAGUAAGGAAGGCGGAGUGAUUGAGAGCCUGAUCAAGCUUUCAGAUGCGGAUUACGCCCCAGGGAAAAACCAAGGAGAGGAAUGAGAUGAACAGGAAGAUGAUGGGGCUAUCAGACAAUGCAUUGGACACGAGGUGUUAUAUUCAUGUGCACGAUGAGCGAGUGUUGCAGAUCUGACAAUGCAGUGAACACAUGGGUGUUCCAACAUGUAGCACGAUGAGACGAGUGCUUCAUGGGUUGUGGACCAGAUUGAAGGAGAUUGACCGGAAGAAUACAUCUCAGUACAAAGUCUAUUGAGGAGGUUGUGUGAAGCUUCGGAGAGGGAUAUGGUGGGCAGGAACAAAUGAGCGAGUUCCAGAGAAGAGGCACAGGAAGAGGUCAAGAGAAGAGGCCAGAGAAGGAGGUCUCAGGAGAGGCAAGAAAGGAGGCUAGAGAAGAGGUCAAGCAGAUGAUGGAGGAUGGCCAGAAUCCAGAGGUCCACUUUAAGGCUUUUAUUCGCGACCAGGAGGGACAAGAAGAAUUGUCCAAGAAACAAAGCACCAGAUCAGAUCUUCGAGCAGCAAAACAGCAAUGAUGCUGGGAUAAGAGUGAUUGUUCUCCUAGCAGGCAUCGGCAGAUGAAGAGUCAGAUUGGUUUCUGAUUCAGAAUUGCCUUACCACUUGUGAAGAGACAAAGAGAUGUUAUCAUACACAUGUAGCAUGCGAGGGACUUGUUCGGAUGGCUACGAUGCAUUGUUGGCAAAGGACAGUCCGGUUCCGCCAUGGAGACGGAAGAUCCAUGAAGGUGACCGGGGUAAGGCAUGUUUCAUUGAGUGCAGAGUCGAAGCGACGAAGCUUUGAAGCUAGUGGAGGACACCAGAGUUUCCAGGGGAACAUGAAUGCUGCAAGGAGAAGGAAGACUGGAAGGCAUAUACCGACUGAGGGAGAAUGUCCAAACAGGAGAGCUUGCUGUCUGAAUAGUCCAGUGGUAUUAGCAAGAAAUGACGAGGAAAGCAAUCGUUGACCACAGAGGCACGCCAAGCAAGCGAAGGAAUUACCAGAAGUGUACUUGCAGGAUCCAGAGUGGUACAGGAGCGCAAGGAGGAUGCUUUGGGAUACGUGCGGAAGUCUGGCCAGACACGAGAAGGUGCAACCAGAUCAGGAGUCCAGAAGAAGCUCAGAGGAGAGAGACAGAGUAGAUGUACAGGACAGGCGUGAGUCGCCGGAACGAAUAUCUUCGCUACUAGAAAAAGUGGCGUAAUCUCUCAGUUUUGUGAAUUAAGGGAGGAGAGAUAGAGUCACGACGAUUUCCAAAGGCGAGACUUUGCGCGCAACCGGUGGGGGGGAGCAGAGCACCUAGGUGAGAAGGUGCGGCACUUCAGGUGUGGAAGUGCAAUCACUUCAGUGAAGGUGGAGUUGCCCACGAAUGAGGGUAACAUAUAUCGGAUACCUGUCUUGAGAUCUACAAGGAGCUGGAUCAGAAGUGUCAGAGAUGGAUAACUUGAAGAUUUCAGAGUACCCUCCAAUGGGCUGGAGGGGGAGAUUGUUGGAUCCAGCCCAUGGGAUCCAAGCCAUUAUAAGCAAAUGAAAGCCCAAGGGCCCAAGUCUUCCAUGCCUUGCCAUUUCCUCAAUCCUAUCUUCCAGGCAGCCUCAAUUUGAACAAUCUGUCACGAGGACAAAGUCUUGAUAGAGGCGGAGGAAGGAAAAGAAUUGCAGAGAGUAAGGAUGUCGGCUGGAGGGGGAUUGUCAACAAGGAGGCUCCCUCACCACUCUAUAUUUUAAAUGGUUCCCAUUUGAGGAAGCAUAAGAGUGGAAGAGGCAAGAUGUAAUCCUUGGAAGGAUUACCUAACCACUCACUUAGCACCCACUCGACGUUCAGCUUGUUUGCUGUGUGCAAGAGAGGGCUGAGAGAGAGUUGGUUUGGGGGGAGAUGCUAGUGUGCUAGUGAAGCACACCGAGAGCACCGAGAGAAGACUCUGGAAGAAAUUGGGCCUAGAAUUGGUAUCUGUCUGUUGAGAUCUGAUAGAGAGAGACAAAAGUGAACCGAAUGGUGAUACGAUAGAGAGAUGUGCUUAAGUGAGAUGGAGAUGAGCUCCUCCCUAUUGUACUCAUUGUAAUAUUCAUUUCUGUUUCCUAGUGAAGGCUGUUCCUCUCCGUGGAUGUAGGCAUUGUUGGCCGAACCACGUAAAUCUUUUGUCUAGUGUGUGUUGUUAUGUUGGUGGAGGUGACUGGUACAUCAUCGUUUUUGGCACAACAAUCCGACUUUAGUCGGCCUCCAUUAGUAGACGGAUCGACCUUUUAAAUGCUAUUAAUUCCUAAGUUGGGUCAAUUUAGUUCAUACAGAAUUUUGUCUCGACCGUAAUUGGACACCGCUAAUAAACAGUGAAAUUGACUCCCGAAUUAGUCAGUCCUUAACCAUAUACCGAGUUAUAAAAAACAAUAUAAGGAUACCGAUCUUGAAAAUGUGAAAUUGCUAACUCAGAUUCUCUAUAGAUAAUUGAUUAACUAAAUUGAUAUUUGAUUAUUCAAGGGGGAAAAAGAAAAGGAGAAGCAAAUCCAUAUGUUCUUUCGUAACACCUUUACGACAAAAUUCUUCUAGAUGCCACAGAUUUAAGAAGUCAGAGCUUGAUCAAACCCUCAAAAUUGCCAGGAAACUUCCUGGAAAUAAAGCUAAAUUAGGAAAGCUGCAGGCAGAAAGCAUGUAUGGAAUUUAAACAUUCAAUAAAAUCAGGAUAUUUCAUGAAGUACCGAAUAAUAAUUUCAUAUUCAUGUGAUAUGUGAGUCUCGUACCCAAUUAAUAGAGUGGGACUCGAUUCACACCUUAUACAAGUAUAAAAUAAUUUAUGUAGUAUUUCAUGAAGCGUCUGUAUUUUUAUCUAUUUAAUUAAUUUUUUAUCUAUUUUAUUUUGCAUUAUUUGACACCUUCACUAGUACUUUGUUUUCCCUUAAAAUGGACCUUUCACAUAAGCAAGCAUAUUCAAAAUGCAUUUGGAAUGGUUUAAUCUACCAUGACCAGAUUUGGGUACUAAAUUUUGGUAUCAUUUGAUGUGUCACUGAUGAAGUGUGAAAGAGACAUAAUGAGUGGGCCGGAUUAAACCAGUGCAAUACUAUACAUAUUGUAAUAUUCUGACUCCUCAUAAUAGUUUUUAAUAUUUUUUUUUAUAAAUUUACGAUCCUCACAUUUAUCUAAGAUUACGGUAAUUUUUGGACAUUUUUCGAAAAUAAUUUUUCGGAUUGAGUUUUGGACAUAAUGCGCGAAAACACCAUUAUUUAUCCUAUUCUUUCUUGAAGGAUUCGAUUCUUUCCUGCUUAUUCUCUUUCUUCAUCUCAGAUGAUGCUUCGAUACACCUCAUGCGCGAGGUAGCCAACUUAGCAUGCCGUGUGGAGCAAAAAUGACCACAUGCCAACAUAUGGUAAGAGAUGAGCCACCACAUGGUGUCUUGUUUAUACAUGUGUAAAGAGAGAGAGGACAGAGAGAGGACAGAGAGAUUAGCUGAGAGAGUGAUAGAGAAAGAAAGAAAGAUUUGGGAGAUAAGAGAAAUUAUAUAGUAUGGUCAGUUAUAAUUAUGAGAGCUAAGAUGAGAGAUCAACGGUGAAAUGAUAUUCGAUCGGGAUAAAAAUUCAAUAUAUUUUUUAUGGCUGACAAAUCAGCAUAUCCAAUGAUUCCGAUUCUAAUUUGACAUAAGUAGGAGGUAUACAAUAUGCUUUUUAAACUCUGAAGUAUUUUAUUAAAAUAUCUGAUUAUGUAUUCCUUUUGAGCAUGUGUAUAUUAUUGAAAUUUAUGAUAUUUUAUUAAACCCAUGAUAUGUAUGAUUUUUUUUAUGAUGGCUAAAAUGUUAUGGUAUUGAUUGGUACAUUGACUAAGUGGACCCUCCAAUAGCUUGACAAACAGUCCAAAAAAAGCCAAAGAGUUAAGUGAGGUGGGUGAGGUCGGCCACAAGUGAUGUACCAAGAAAGACUGAGUAUGAGGUCCUUCAUGAUUGAUGAUCCAUUGAGCACUUUUAGAUUUGUCGUUGAGUCAUUAUUAAAUUGAGUAUAUUUCUGUCGUAUUGUAUAAUUUCCUGCUUAAAAUAAUUUUUUAGGCAAAUAUGGGAAUCGGGUAGUGCGAAAAGAGUUGGAUAAAAAAAUUGAAUACUUUUGAUAACUUUGUAUUAAUUUAUUAAGAGACAUUGUAAAAAUAAAUAUUUGAAGGCUAACGUAAAUUUGAAUAAAAUA